rnacentral:rRNA from 1 species
AACGAACGCUGGCGGCAUGCCUAACACAUGCAAGUCGAACGAGACCUUCGGGUCUAGUGGCGCACGGGUGCGUAACGCGUGGGAACCUGCCCUUAGGUUCGGAAUAACUCCCCGAAAGGGGUUCUAAUACCGGAUAAUGUCUUCGGACCAAAGAUUUAUCGCCUUUGGAUGGGCCCGCGUUGGAUUAGCUAGUUGGUAGGGUAAAAGCCUACCAAGGCGACGAUCCAUAGCUGGUCUGAGAGGAUGAUCAGCCACACUGGGACUGAGACACGGUCCAGACUCCUACGGGAGGCAGCAGUGGGGAAUAUUGGACAAUGGGCGAAAGCCUGAUCCAGCAAUGCCGCGUGAGUGAUGAAGGCCUUAGGGUUGUAAAGCUCUUUUACCCGGGAUGAUAAUGACAGUACCGGGAGAAUAAGCUCCGGCUAACUCCGUG